AUUAGAUAAUGACGGUACCCGCAGAAGAAGCCCCGGCUAACUCCGUGCCAGCAGCCGCGGUAAUACGGAGGGUGCAAGCGUUGUUCGGAAUUAUUGGGCGUAAAGCGCGUGUAGGCGGUCUGUUAAGUCUGGUGUGAAAGCCCUGGGCUCAACCCAGGAAGUGCAUUGGAUACUGGCAGACUUGAGUAUGGGAGAGGAAAGCGGAAUUCCGAGUGUAGGAGUGAAAUCCGUAGAUAUUCGGAGGAACACCAGUGGCGAAG
rnacentral:rRNA from 1 species